rnacentral:rRNA from 1 species
GACAACUCUUCGAAAGGAGAGCUAAUACCGCAUAACAUCCCGAGCACUUCGGUGCAUGGGAUCAAAGUUUGCCUCUGUUUCAUGCAAACGCCACCGGAGGGACCCGCGCCCCAUUAGCUUGAUGGUGAGGUAACGGCUCACCAUGGCUACGAUGGGUAGCCGGCCUGAGAGGGUGAUCGGCCACACUGGAACUGAGACACGGUCCAGACUCCUACGGGAGGCAGCGGUGAGGAAUUUUGCGCAAUGGGCGAAAGCCUGACGCAGCGACGCCGCGUGGAGGAAGAAGGCCUUCGGGUCGUAAACUCCUGUCAAGAGGGACGAAUCCCUACCGAAUGAAUAAGUCAGUAGGUUGACGGUACCUCUGAAGGAGGCCCCGGCUAACUCCGUGCCAGCAGCCGCGGUAAUACGG